rnacentral:rRNA from 1 species
UUUUUGUGGAGAGUUUGAUCCUGGCUCAGGACGAACGCUGGCGGCGUGCUUAACACAUGCAAGUCGAACGGAAAGGCCCCUUCGGGGGUGCUCGAGUGGCGAACGGGUGAGUAACACGUGGGUGAUCUGCCUCGCACUCUGGGAUAAGCCUGGGAAACUGGGUCUAAUACUGGAUAGGACCGCGCUUUAGUGUGUGUGGUGGAAAGUUUUUUCGGUACGAGAUGAGCCCGCGGCCUAUCAGCUUGUUGGUGGGGUAAUGGCCUACCAAGGCGUCGACGGGUAGCCGGCCUGAGAGGGUGGACGGCCACAUUGGGACUGAGAUACGGCCCAGACUCCUACGGGAGGCAGCAGUGGGGAAUAUUGCACAAUGGGCGCAAGCCUGAUGCAGCGACGCCGCGUGAGGGAUGACGGCCUUCGGGUUGUAAACCUCUUUCGACAGGGACGAAGCUUUUGUGACGGUACCUGUAUAAGAAGCACCGGCUAACUACGUGCCAGCAGCCGCGGUAAUACGUAGGGUGCGAGCGUUGUCCGGAAUUACUGGGCGUAAAGAGCUCGUAGGUGGUUUGUCGCGUCGUCUGUGAAAUUCCGGGGCUUAACUCCGGGCGUGCAGGCGAUACGGGCAUAACUUGAGUGCUGUAGGGGAGACUGGAAUUCCUGGUGUAGCGGUGGAAUGCGCAGAUAUCAGGAGGAACACCGAUGGCGAAGGCAGGUCUCUGGGCAGUAACUGACGCUGAGGAGCGAAAGCAUGGGGAGCGAACAGGAUUAGAUACCCUGGUAGUCCAUGCCGUAAACGGUGGGCGCUAGGUGUGAGGGUCUUCCACGACUUUCGUGCCGUAGCUAACGCAUUAAGCGCCCCGCCUGGGGAGUACGGCCGCAAGGCUAAAACUCAAAGGAAUUGACGGGGGCCCGCACAAGCGGCGGAGCAUGUGGAUUAAUUCGAUGCAACGCGAAGAACCUUACCUGGGCUUGACAUAUACAAGAUCGGCGUAGAGAUACGUUUUCCCUUGUGGUUUGUAUACAGGUGGUGCAUGGUUGUCGUCAGCUCGUGUCGUGAGAUGUUGGGUUAAGUCCCGCAACGAGCGCAACCCUUGUCUUAUGUUGCCAGCACGUGAUGGUGGGGACUCAUGAGAGACUGCCGGGGUUAACUCGGAGGAAGGUGGGGAUGACGUCAAAUCAUCAUGCCCCUUAUGUCCAGGGCUUCACACAUGCUACAAUGGUCGGUACAACGCGUUGCGAGCCUGUGAGGGUGAGCGAAUCGCUGAAAGCCGGCCUCAGUUCGGAUUGGGGUCUGCAACUCGACCCCAUGAAGUCGGAGUCGCUAGUAAUCGCAGAUCAGCAACGCUGCGGUGAAUACGUUCCCGGGCCUUGUACACACCGCCCGUCACGUCAUGAAAGUUGGUAACACCCGAAGCCCAUGGCCCAACCAGUUUCUGGGGGGAGUGGUCGAAGGUGGGAUCGGCGAUUGGGACGAAGUCGUAACAAGGUAGCCGUACCGGAAGGUGCGGCUGGAUCACCUCCUUUCU